AUUGAACGCUGGCGGCAGGCCUAACACAUGCAAGUCGAACGGGAACAGGAAGCAGCUUGCUGCUUCGCUGACGAGUGGCGGACGGGUGAGUAAUGUCUGGGAAGCUGCCUGAUGGAGGGGGAUAACUACUGGAAACGGUAGCUAAUACCGCAUAAUGUCGCAGGACCAAAGAGGGGGACCUUCGGGCCUCUUGCCAUCGGAUGUGCCCAGAUGGGAUUAGCUUGUUGGUGGGGUAACGGCUCACCAAGGCGACGAUCCCUAGCUGGUCUGAGAGGAUGACCAGCCACACUGGAACUGAGACACGGUCCAGACUCCUACGGGAGGCAGCAGUGGGGAAUAUUGCACAAUGGGCGCAAGCCUGAUGCAGCCAUGCCGCGUGUAUGAAGAAGGCCUUCGGGUUGUAAAGUACUUUCAGCGGGGAGGAAGGGAGUAAAGUUAAUACCUUUGCUCAUUGACGUUACCCGCAGAAGAAGCACCGGCUAACUCCGUG
rnacentral:rRNA from 1 species